rnacentral:rRNA from 1 species
ACCCGCACAAGCGGUGGAUGAUGUGGUUUAAUUCGAUGCAACGCGAAAACCUUACCCACCUUUGACAUGUACGGAAUCCUUUAGAGAUAGAGGAGUGCUCGAAAGAGAGCCGUAACACAGGUGCUGCAUGGCUGUCGUCAGCUCGUGUCGUGAGAUGUUGGGUUAAGUCCCGCAACGAGCGCAACCCUUGUCAUUAGUUGCUACGAAAGGGCACUCUAAUGAGACUGCCGGUGACAAACCGGCGGAAGGUGGGGAUGACGUCAAGUCCUCAUGGCCCUUAUGGGUAGGGCUUCACACGUCAUACAAUGGUCGGUACAGAGGGUUGCCAACCCGCGAGGGGGAGCUAAUCCCACAAAGCCGAUCGUAGUCCGGAUCGCAGUCUGCAACUCGACUGCGUGAAGUCGGAAUCGCUAGUAAUCGUGGAUCAGCAUGUCACGGUGAAUACGUUCCCGGGUCUU